CGAAGAACCUUACCAAGGCUUGACAUGGGCCGGAUCGCCGCAGAAAUGCGGUUUCCCUUCGGGGCCGGUUCACAGGUGGUGCAUGGUUGUCGUCAGCUCGUGUCGUGAGAUGUUGGGUUAAGUCCCGCAACGAGCGCAACCCUCGUUCUAUGUUGCCAGCGGUUCGGCCGGGGACUCAUAGGAGACUGCCGGGGUCAACUCGGAGGAAGGUGGGGACGACGUCAAAUCAUCAUGCCCCUUAUGUCUUGGGCUUCACGCAUGCUACAAUGGCCGGUACAAAGGGUUGCGAUACUGUGAGGUGGAGCUAAUCCCAAAAAGCCGGUCUCAGUUCGGAUUGAGGUCUGCAACUCGACCUCAUGAAGUCGGAGUCGCUAGUAAUCGCAGAUCAGCAACGCUGCGGUGAAUACGUUCCCGGGCCUUGUACACACCGCCCGUCAAGUCACGAAAGUUGGUAACACCCGAAGCCGGUGGCCUAACCC
rnacentral:rRNA from 1 species